GCUGGGCGCAGUGGCGCGUGCCUGUAGUCCCAGCUACUCGGGAGGCUGAGGUAGGAGGAUUGCUUGAGUCCAGGAGUUCUGGGCUGUAGUGCACUAUGCAGAUCAGGUGUCCACACUAAGUUGGGCAUCAAUAUGGUGACCUCCCGGGAGCGGGGGACCACUAGGUUGCCUAAGGAGGGGUAAACCGGCCCACAUGGGAAACAGAGCAGGUCAAAACUCCCAUGCUGAUCAGUAGUGGGAUUGCACCUGUGAGUAGCCACUGCACUCCAGCCUGGGCAACAUAGUGAGACCCUGUCUCU
rnacentral:SRP_RNA from 1 species